rnacentral:rRNA from 1 species
CAUGCUGUAGGUUGAAGAUGGUUUCGGCUAUCACUUUAGGAUGGACCCGCGGUGCAUUAGUUMGUUGGUGAGGUAAAGGCUCACCAAGACCGUGAUGCAUAGCCGACCUGAGAGGGUAAUCGGCCACACUGGGACUGAGACACGGCCCAGACUCCUACGGGAGGCAGCAGUAGGGAAUCUUCCACAAUGGACGAAAGUCUGAUGGAGCAACGCCGCGUGAGUGAAGAAGGUUUUCGGAUCGUAAAACUCUGUUGUUGGAGAAGAAUGUAUCUGAUAGUAACUGAUCAGGUAGUGACGGUAUCCAACCAGAAAGCCACGGCUAACUACGUGCCAGCAGCCGCGGUAAUACGUAGGUGGCAAGCGUUGUCCGGAUUUAUUGGGCGUAAAGCGAGCGCAGGCGGUUUCUUAAGUCUGAUGUGAAAGCCUUCGGCUCAACCGAAGAAGUGCA